CUACGGGUGGCUGCAGUGGGGAAUAUUGCACAAUGGGCGCAAGCCUGAUGCAGCCAUGCCGCGUGUAUGAAGAAGGCCUUCGGGUUGUAAAGUACUUUCAGCGGGGAGGAAGGGAGUAAAGUUAAUACCUUUGCUCAUUGACGUUACCCGCAGAAGAAGCACCGGCUAACUCCGUGUCAGCAGCCGCGGUAAUACGGAGGUGCAAGCGUUAAUCGGAAUUACUGGGCGUAAAGCGCACGCAGGCGGUUUGUUAAGUCAGAUGUGAAAUCCCCGGGCUCAACCUGGGAACUGCAUCUGAUACUGGCAAGCUUGAGUCUCGUAGAGGGGGGUAGAAUUCCAGGUGUAGCGGUGAAAUGCGUAGAGAUCUGGAGGAAUACCGGUGGCGAAGGCGGCCCCCUGGACGAAGACUGACGCUCAGGUGCGAAAGCGUGGGGAGCAAACAGGAUUAGAUACCCGGGUAGUC
rnacentral:rRNA from 1 species